rnacentral:lncRNA from 1 species
AAUAAACACUGUGAUGAUAAUGUUGAGGGAUUGACAGAACGUUCUCAAUUUGAGCUAUUUCUGAAGAAUGAAACCCUUGUCUAAAAGGUGUCUGUAUCUUAUCUCCACUAGGGGCCCAUACAGGCUUGAGCCAAUGGAGUAAUUCUCCAUCAAAUCUUCUGUGUUCAAAUUCCUAGGAGAAUUUUUUGAUGAUUCAAUCUAUUGGUAUGUUUCACUAACCUUCAUAUCUGAAGUGAUAUCAGAGACACACUUAAUGAGUUGCAGCUCUCAAAUAAGUUGCUACAAUUGGACCUAAAAGGCUUUUCUCAGGCAAGUCCAGAUAUCCACUUUCCCUUAUCUGCUUACUUUCAGGGGCCUUCCAGAGAACAAAUGGCUGGUCCUUUUCCAAGGGGACAGAUUUUGCUACCUGAUGCUUUUGUUCUCCAGCAAGAAAAGAAAAUGAAAACUGUUGUCUUCCCCUAGAAUAUUGAGUCCAGAGUAAACUGAAGCUUUGUGUAUUUCUUUUGUAGUGGUUUCCUUCAAAUUUGCUCAGAGUAAUGCCUUGGGCCUUCUUGU